rnacentral:rRNA from 1 species
UACGUAGGGUGCAAGCGUUGCCCGGAUUUAUUGGGCGUAAAGGGCGUGUAGGUGGUUGUGUAAGUUCGGCGUGAAAUCUCUCGGCUUAACCGGGAGUGGUCGUCGGAUACUGCACGACUAGAGGACGGUAGAGGCGUGUGGAAUUCCGGGUGUAGUGGUGAAAUGCGUAGAGAUCCGGAGGAACACCAGUGGCGAAGGCGACACGCUGGGCCGUACCUGACACUGAGGCGCGAUAGCAUGGGGAGCAAACAGG